rnacentral:tRNA from 1 species
GCGCCAUUGUUUUUGUACUGGAUUGGAAUGUCUGGCUACGAACCAGAAGGUCGGGAGUUCGAGUCUCUCAGGGCGUA